ACCCCUUUGGGCUGCCGUUUCGUUCGUAACCCAAAAUGGCGGCGCCCAGUGGAGAAACUCCACCAUGGGGGGGCAAGGAAUUCCGUAAUCUAAAAUGGCGGCGCCCUGUUGGAGAGGAAGAGCCGGCUCUUGAGCAAAUCUCCUGUGAUGCAAAAUGGCGCCUCUCUUCCGUAUUGCAAUAUGGCCACCCCCUGUUGAGGGGAAGCGUUACCCACAGACUGGCUUCCUACCCCUCUCCGCGGGCUGGUUGUGUCCCCAAUGCUCCCUUGUGGUAGUGACGGGCCACGGGACGCGUCUGAAGGUCGAGCGUCUUGGAGCGCGCCCCUCAGCCAGACGGAGCAGCGGCUCUGAGCCAGGCCCCUUCCCUGUGCCCGCUCCCUCUGCCCUUCUCUCUCCCUCAUUCAUUUCUUCCCCCUUCCCACACCUUCACCUCUUGUCUCCCCGCCCCUCUUCUCCGUCCAUCCGCUCUCCUCCUGCCUCCCACUUCAGCCCCGCGCCUCACUGGCCAGUAGCCAGCCAAAGCCCAAGAACUCUCCGCUCAGCCCUGCGCGGAGCAGCUUCCCCGCGCCCGGGGCUGUGCUCUGCCCAUUGGACGUUACCGACCGUUUCUGACUCGGUGGCAGCCUGUUGUAGGCUAGAGCUGGCCGGAAAAGUUUGCAAUGUAUAUUUAUUUAUAUAAAAUAUUUAAAUAUUUUAAAUAUAUAUAAGACUUCUCCUGUCUCCAAUCUCUCCCCCCACCUUCUUUUGACCAGUCAGCCCGAUGCUCUAAUCUACACCCUCCACUGUGGUGUCUGGGCAACUCACUUCUUUGGUCCUUAGUUUGUUCCCCCUCUUUUCUUCCUUUCAAAACAACAAACCCAACCUGCCACCAAAUUGAUAGAUGAUGAAAUCAACUUGCAAUGCUGUGCUUUGACGGAAGCAAAGUUAACUGCCUUUUUCAUCAUCUCCCCAAAGAUUUUAGUGGGGGGGUGAUGGUGACAGGAGGAAGUCAUCUCCGUGUUCACACCAAAAGCAGGAAAAAUAGUCUCUGCAGGUUCAGGGCCUUAUAAAUACAGCUUAAAAUGCUUAUUUUAGUAUAGCAAUAAACUAAAUUAAAAUAGGGGAAUCUUUCUGGGCAUGGCUGGAGACCAUGAAUUUGGUGACCCUGCCACACUUAGGGAUUUUGUAUCUGCAGAUUUUGCCACCUCACAGUUUACCUCUUUUUCCAGACCCUUUAUGAAUAUAUUGAACAGUAUUGUUCCCAGUACAGACUCCUGGGGGACACCGCUAUUUACCUCUCUCCAUUCUGAAAACUGACCAUUGAUUCCUACCUUUUGUUUCCUGUCUUUUAACCAGUUACUGAUCCAUGAAGAGCCUUUGGUGAGGGAACUUGUCAAAGACUUUCUGAAAAUCUAAGUACACUAUAUUCACUGGAUCCCCCUUGUCCACAUGCUUGUUGGACCCCCUCAGAGAAUUCUAGUAGAUUGGUGAGGCAUGAUUUCCCCUUUUACAAAAACCAUGUUGACUCUUGCCCAGCAAAUCAUGUUCAUCUAUGUGUCUGAUAAUUCUGUUCUUUACUCUAGUUUCCAACCAGUUUGCCCAGUACUGAAGUUAGGCUUACCCGCCUGUAAUUGCUGGGAUCGUCUCUGGAGCCUUUUAAAAAUAUUCAUGUCAGAUUAGCUAUCCUCUAGUCAUCUGGUGCAGAAGCAGAUUUAAAUGAUAGGUUACAUAACCACAGUUAGUAGUUCUGCAGUUUCACAUUUAAGUUCCUUCAGAACUCUUGGGUGAAUACCAUCUGGUCCUGGUGACUUUUAUUACUGUUUAAUUUAUAAUUUUUUUCCAAGAUCUCCUCUGACACCUCAAUCUGGGACAGUUCCUCAGAUUUGUCAUUGAAAAAGAAUGGCUCAGGUUGGGGAAUCUCCCUCCAUGAAAACCGAUGCCAUGAAGACUGAUGCAAAGAAUUCAUUUAGUUUUUUCACAAUGGCCUUAAGGGGGAUAAGUGCGCCUUUAGCAUCUCGAUCAUCCAGUGACUCUGCUGGUUGUUUAGAAAGGCUUUCUGUUUCUUAUAUACUUACAGGGUUUUGUUUUGUUUUUUUAAUAUUACUUUUCGAAUCUUUGGCUAGCUAUUCUUCAAAUUCUUUUUUGGCCUUCCUUUUUUUUCACACUUCACUUGCCAGAGUUUAUGCUCCUUUCUAUUCAAUAGAAUUUAACUUCCACUUUUUAAAGGAUGCCUUUUUGCCUCAACUGCUUCUUUGACUUUGUUUAUCCACAGUGGCACUUUUUUGGUCCUCUUACUACAUUUUUUUAAUUUGGGGUAUACAUUUAAUUUGAGCCUCUAUUACAGUGUCUUUAAAAAGUUUUCAUGUAGUUUGCAGGGAUUUCACUUUUGGCACUGUACCUUUUAAUUUCUGUUUAACUAACUUCCUCAUUUUUCUGUAAUUCCUCUUUCUGAAAUUAAAUGCUACCGUGAUGGGUUGCUGUGGUGUGUCGUCGUCGUCGUCCCCCCCCUUCCCCCCCGGAUGUUAAAUUUUAUUAUGCUAUGGUCACUAUUACCAAGUGGUUUAGCUAUAUUCACUUCUUGGACCAGACUCUGUGCUCCAUUUAGAACUAAAUCAAGAAUUGCCUUUCCUCUUGAGGGUUUCAGGACUGGCUGCUCCAAGAAGCAGUCAUUUAAGAUGUCAAGAAACUUUGUCUUUGCGUUGUGUCCUGAGUUGACAAGUCAAUAUGGGGAUAGUUGAAAUCCCCCACUAUUAGUGAGGUUUUUUUAUUUUCGUAGGCUCUCUAAUCUCCCAGAGAAUUUCAGUCAUUAUCACCAUCCUGGUCAGGUGGGCAGUAGUAUAUCCCUAUUGCUAUAUUCUUACUAUUAGAGCAUGGAAUUACUAUCCAUAGAGAUUCUGUGGUACAGUUUGGUUCAUUUAAGAUUUUUAUUUCCUUUCACUCUAUGCUUUCUUUCACAUAUAGUACCACCAGUACAACCUAUUCUGUCCUUCUGAUAUAUUUUGUACCCUGGUAUUACUGUGUCUCAAUGAUUAUCCUCAUUCCACCAAGUUUCUGUGAUGCCUAGUAUAUCAAUAUCCUUAUUUAAUACAAGGCACAUUUAGUUCACCCAUCUUAUUAUUUAGACUUCUAGCAUUUGUAUAUAAGCACUUAAAAAUUGUCACUUUUUAGCUUUCUGCCAUUAUGGGAUCACACCUCUAGUCCAUCACAUGUUGUGCACUUGGACAAAUCACUUAACCUUUGUGCCUCUGUUGAGUGAAGUUUUUUACGUGUAACUUCCUACCUUUAAAAAUAUUGAAAAAACAAAUUUCAUCAUGUGGUCAUGUUGACACCCACAUGGGUCAUCGGAUAUGUAGGGCUAUUUACAGUGACUCGAGUGUGAGUGAAAAUCUCAGGGCAGACUGUUAGGAAGCAGGGCACAAACCCCAAAUUGGCUGUGGCACCAGCUACCAGGGAAGGAGCCUCGGGGGAGGCCUGUGGCUGCUCCAGCAACCACCAGGGGGCACCCCGGGGUCAACUGCUGCCCUUGGGGCUGCUGCUCAGGCAUUCCCCAGGGCCAGCUGCAUUGGCUGCUGCUCAGGCGGUCCCUGGGGCCAGGUUCCCUGGGCCUCCAGAGUAGCAGUUGGGGUGGGGGCCGCUCCAGCAGCAACUGGUGAGACUGGCUGUGGGGCCACCUGAGUGACUGGCCCCAGGGUCAGCUGCUUGGGUGGCCAUGGGGACAGCCACACUGGCUGGUUUCUGCAGAAGUCAUGGAGGAUACAAGAAGUCACAGAAUCUGUGACUGAUUCCUGCUAUGUAUUUGUCUGUUCUACUGAGACACGGGGACUCUGGCAUGAGCUUGCACCUGGUUUGCCAGCAUCACACGCACUGUUGGAACCUUUAGAUCUAUAACACAGACCUCUGCGACUUGAGCUGAGGGAGAAACUGAUAGCAGUAGUAGGUGUCAUCAUCAGCCCAGUAGGAGAUGGGAUACUUUGCCAGGAGGUUUCACAAAUCUUUGCUGGCAGCGGAGGAAUGGUGAGUCUCAGGAAUCUUGGAUACCAUGCCAGACUCUGGAGGGGAGCUUGCUGUGAGCACAGUUUCUUUCUAUCCUUUCCAAGUGGGAUCCCUUCUGCCCCAACCCCUCUAAUCUGUCCUUGUCCCGUCCACGUCCCAUUCCCCUUACCUAGCCAGUUCCAGUCUUCACUCCACUCCUUAGGCUUUUUUCCACUGAAUGCAUCCAAUGAAGUGAGCUGUAGUUCACGAAAGCUUAUGCUCAAAUAAAUUUGUUAGUCUCUAAGGUGCCACAAGUACUCCUUUUCUUUUUGCGAAUACAGACUAACACAGCUGCUACUCUGAAACCAGAAUUAUGUUUGAUUUUUUUGGCAACAGUAUUACAUUGUUGACUCAUAUUUAGUUUGUGAUCCACUAUAAUUAUAUAGUGAACCUUGGGUUCCAUGCCAGCUUCUGGAAAGGCGUGUCCUCUAGUGGUCACAGACCCUUCUGCCCCUUUCUCUCUCCCCACAAAAGACUGACCCCUUUGCCCCUCUCCCAGACCCCUCUCUCUUCCCCUAACUCCCAAUCCUAGCCUGGACCCUGGGUUCCUUGUCCCAAUCUACCCCAUCAUAUGGUUCUUUUCCCUUCUGGAUUCAUUAAAUUGGUUCCUCCUCUUUGUUCCCUGGGUACCAGAAGAGAGACAGUCUGCCUGCCCUCAGGACCACAGAAGAGCCCAAGCUGGAAGAAGCAAUUGCAAAGGAAGUCCUUCUCAGCCCCAGUACCCAAGAUGGAGUAUGCUCAGUUGGUAUAUGCAAAGUUCUGUUGGCACAUAGAAGCUGUGAGGGGAUGGAGCAGGUCCAGUACAGACAGAUUCUUCAGAGAAUUUAGCUGCCAACCUUUUAACAAGUCUGGACUGAGAAUUUGUGAGACGAGGUUUUUUUUUCUAAGGCUUAUAACUUGGCCAGGGUUUCUCAUGGAAACAUCCUUGAUACAAAGGCCAAAUUUCAAACCCCUUCUCCAAAGCAUGGAAGUGCAAGAGCAUUUCAGCAAAAUGAUUGUAUGAAUUUUUUCUAACAUGGACAAAACACAUUUUCCCCUAGUUGGUUCUCAGAAGCACAUGGUUUCAGCAAAAAUAGUCUAACUAAAUUCAGCCUGAGGCAGACAAUUGACAUGGAAAAUGUCAGCCCAAGUGGUUAAAGGCUGGCAAAGUUAUAAGCUCCUAAUAACAGCUCUUAUGAUGGAAAGUGUCAGGGUACCUUAAGUAUAAGACUUGCUAUCUGUGCCACCAAUAAUGAACAGUAAAUCUGAACCUUGGAAAAAUUAAUCUUCAAAAAUGUAUUUCAAAUGCUAUACAGCAUUUGUUGUUUUAAAUGAGUUUUUCCAGUGGUCCAUACAGCUGUUCAUACGUGUUAGACUUAUUGCAAGAAAUGAAGGAAGCAGAAAAGGGGAGAAGGGAGAACCAAAUCUCAACUUAAACGCCUCACCCACAAAGGGCCAGGAAAAAUAGAGCUGAGCGCACUUGUUCAAAACUUUUGUAGUGGAAAAAAUGCAGAUUUGGCAAACAGAAUUUGUAUCAAUUUCACCAAAUCGUUUAAGUAAAAUCUAAAAAAAGAAAAAUUUAAAAAAAAUCUAAAUGUUUAAAUAUUUUUGGAACAGGACAUUUUGAUUUUUUUCAGUUCGAAAUGACUUUGUUUAGAAAUUUCCUUUAAUUUUAUUAAAUUAAAAUGAAACCUUUGUUUUGGGUUAAAGAAAAUGUCUUGCUCAACCCAAAACAAUUUUUUGAAAUUUUUUGAUAUGCUAAAAAUUUUUGGUUUUGGUUCAGCCUGAAACUAUUUCUCUCCACCCCCACCCAAUUUUUUUCAGAAUUGCUAGUGAACCAAAAAAUCCAUUAUUCAUCCGCCUCUACAGCAAAAGUAACGGUAGGACUCAGCCUCUUUUGUUGUUUGAGAUGCUCUCAACGAAAUUUUGGAAAACAUUUUGAAGUCUGUAUUUGCUAUAAAUAGUUUUUAAAAAGUUGUCACAUUCAGUCAUUUAUUUUUCCAAGCUAUUGUUGCAGGAGAACCUAUGCCUUCCAUUCUGGCAGUUAUUUUUUGCCCAACAUCUGUGCAAUAGUUGUUUUGUUUUAAGCUACACAUAUUUGUGUCCUCAGGUCCCUUUCAAUACUAAACUUGAUGUAGGGAUAAGUUUUUUUUUUUUUUGUAAUAAAUAGAUUGUUAACAUACAGGACGAUAUUUUUCUAGUAUUGUCCAAUGACCAAACAGCCAUCAAGCUUAUGUGAUAAUUUUGAGUAGAGUUGUUAGAAUGUGAAGGGAUGCUUUCCUUCAUCCUAUGAAAUGUCAGAAUGUUUCACUGUGGCAAGUGGGUGCAGCUUUAUUUUAAUUUCCACUGAAGAAACUUUUCCAGGCAAUACCUGGUCCCAUAAAUGUAACCAAAAGGUGGCAGCAUAUUGUUUGCUAUUCCUUUUCUCUCACUUUAUGGAAACACUAGCAAUAAGCAACUCAACUUUACUCCAUCAGUCUGCAGAGAUGCCAGGAAGACUGGCAUAAUCAUUCUGACUAAGGCAUUUAGGUGAUGACUAAUGUAAAUUCAGCUGUUUGUUUAAAAGAACAUAAGAACGGCCUACUGGGUCAGACCAAAGGUCCAUCUAGCCCAGUAUCCUGUCUACCGACAGUGGCCAAUGCCAGGUGCCCCAGAGGGAGUGAACCUAACGGGUAAUGAUCUAGUGAUCUCUCUCCUGCCAUCCAUCUCUACCCUCUGACAAACAGAGGCUAGGGACAUCAUUCCUUACCCCUCCUGGCUAAUAGCCAUUAAUGGACUUAACCUCCAUGAAUUCAUCCAAUUCUCUUUUAAACCCUGUUAUAGUCCUAGCCUUCACAACCUCCUCAGGCAAGGAGUUCCACAGGUUGACUGUGCACUGAGUGAAGAACUUCCUUUUAUUUGUUUUAAACCUGCUACCCAUUAAUUUCAUUUGGUGGCCCCUAGUUCUUAUAUUAUGGGAACAAGUAAAUAACUUUUCCUUAUUUACUUUCUCCACACCACUCAUGAUUUUAUAUACCUGUGUCAUAUCCCCCCUUAGUCUCCUCUUUUCCAAGCUGAAAAGUCCUAGCCUCUUUACUCUUUCCUCAUAUGGGACCCAUUCCAAACCCCUAAUCAUUUUAGUUGCCCUUUUCUGAAUCUUUUCUAAUGCCAGUAUAUCUUUUUUGAGAUGAGGGUCCACAUCUGUAUGCAGUAUUCAAGGUGUGGGCGUACAAUGGAUUUAUAUAAGGGCAAUAAGGUAUUCUCUAUCCCUUUUUUAAUGAUUCCUAACAUCCAGUUUGCUUUUUUGGCUGCUGCUGCUGCACACUGUGUGGAUGUCUUCAGAGAACUAUCCACGAUGACGCCAAGAUCUUUCUCCUGAUUAGUUGUAGCUAAAUUAGCCCCGAUCAUAUUGUAUGUAUAGUUGGGGUUAUUUUUCCCAAUGUGCAUUACUUUAUAUUUAUCCACAUUAAAUUUCAUUUGUCAUUUUGUUGCCCAAUCACUUAGUUUUGUGAGAUCUUUUUGAAGUUCUUCACAGUCUGCUUUGGUCUUAACUAUCUUGAGCAGUUUAGUAUCAUCUGCAAACUUUGCCACCUCACUGUUUACCCCUUUCUCCAGAUCAUUUAUCAAUAAGUUGAAUAGGAUUGGUCCUAGGAUUGACCCUUGGGGAACACCACUAGUUACCCCUCUCCAUUCUGAAACUUUACUGUUUAUUCCUACCGUUUGUUUCCUGUCUUUUAACCAGCUCUCAUUCCAUGAAAGGAUCUUCCCUCUUAUCCCAUGACAACUUAAUUUACAUAAGAGCCUUUGGUGAGGGACCUUGUCAAAGGCUUUCUGGAAAUCUAAGUACACUAUGUCCAAUGGAUCCCCCUUGUCCACAUGUCUGACCCCCUCAAAGAACUCUAAUAGAUUAGUAAGACAUGAUCUCCCUUUACAGAAACCAUGUUGAACAAUACAGAACAAUUUAUGUUCUUCUAUGUGUCUGACAAUUUUAUUCUUUACUAUUGUUUCAAUUAAUUUGCCCGGUACUGACAUUAGACUUAGUGGUCUGUAAUUGCCAGGAUCACCUCUAGAACCCUUCUUAAAUAUUGGCGUUAUGUUAGCUAUCUUCCAGUCAUUGGGUACAGUAGCUGAUUUAAAGGACAGGUUACAAACCAUAGUUAACAGUUCUGCAAUUUCACAUUUGAACAUUCAGAACUCUUGGGUGAAUGCCAUCUGGUCCUGGUGACUUUUUACUGUUAAGUUUCUCAAUUAAUUCCAAAACCUCCUCUAGUGACACUUCAAUCUGUGACAAUUCCUCAGAUUUGUCGCAAAAGACUGCUCAGGUUUGGGAAUCUCCCUAAUAUCCUCAGCCAUGAAGACUGAAGCAAAUUAAUACAGACCUGUUAUUUCAGUUGGUUCAAUGGUUUGCACCUCAUUUGUUUGGCUUCUGGCACAAGAUAGAAAACACCUCUGAAGAAAGGUUACAUUUUAGCUCACUGUUAGUCUGCUGAGGUAGCUUCAGGAAGAACAUGUCCUUUACUGUUUGUUAAUUAAUCUAGACAUUGUAAGCAGACUAUUUGAAAAGCCUCAGGUGUGUUAUUGAUCUGUAGACUUGUGCCGAAUUUUGUCCCUUGUGCCACCUUGGAUAACUGGGCUGGGUGCCAGUGACCUCCCCAGGCCCAGGAAGGGGAGGAGGAAUCCUUCAUGCAGAAGUAUACAAAAGUGAAAUGGUAUGAAUACAUCAGUCAAGGUUUUGCUGAAUAACUGCAUCUGUUUAAAUGACUGCUUCUGAAAGAUCUGCAGAUGUCCAGUUACCAGCUUCAGAGGUAAGAGGCACGUGUGUGUGUGUUCUGGACAUCACUUACAUUGCAUUUCUGUAGCCCAGAGAGCAUCUGGGCAUGGAGCCAGCAGCCCUUAGGAAACUCCAGCUAGUACAGAACACUGCAGCAUGACUCCUCAGCAACAAGGGCCAGCGAGAGCACAGGAGCCUUGUCUUCCACGUCCUCUGCUGGCUUCCCACAGACUAUCAAGUCCAGUUCCAGGUCUCAGUCUUUGCCUUCAAAGCUCUCAGUGGCCUGGGAUAUUUAAAAUAUCACCUAAUGCUCUGGGAUGAGGACCAUCGUUGACAACUCCACUCCCCAGACACAAUGGAGCUUUCUAACACAGGGGUAAAGCUUGCCUGUGCAAGAGACAGUUUUCUCAGGGGCUGUUCAGACUGUGGAACAAACUCUCACAGGAAUGAAGGACCAUCAUAAACAUCACCACUUUCUGUACUAAGUGCCAGGUGCACUCCUUCAGCCUAACCACAGAGCAAUGGGUGCAUGUGUAAAAACAAAUCCCUCAAUGUUACACUGAACAAAUAAAUCUUCCCCUGGGGAAAAGAUGAGAGAACAAACCUUGCAUGAAAAAUGUGGUUUAAUCCACUGUUGGAAGGUGCUCAGAUGCACAUGUUGUUGACGAUAAUACAAGGGCAUAUAUAGUUUAGGAGCCCUGGGUUUUCAUUCUUGUGUUAUGUGAACUUGAAUCUCUGUGUGGGGAGUAUGGGGGUAGGAGGCUGGAACUUGGAUUCUCUCUUUACUGUUUGCUAUAUUUUGGGUGUUGUUCUCCCUGAGGCAGCACUGAGAACUUGCUGGAGAAUGUUUAGAUCACUCUGUAUCACUUGAUGGCAAUGGAUGUUCUACUGUGCCGUCAGUCUGGUUCCUGCAACUUGCCCUCCUAUCUGCUCUUUUCUUGGUUUACUUACUUUUCUAUGAUGUCAAUACACUCUUGGGGCAUGAUCCUUUGAGGAGCCUCUGAUGAUUGGGUGUGGCAUACAAAUUUAGCACCAGCCACCACAAUUUACACUAAACCUAGUUUACACCCUCCCUGGGGUCUAGUUUAGGAGUGAGGGUGGACACUGAAUGCACCUGUAAUGGAGUGUACCAGGCCCUUUGAGGCCCCCUCCUGGAGACCUCAUGGUCCUCCUACCACACCCCGCCCCAGAAAAGGAGCAAUAAAGGUGGGUUCUCCAGGCCUGCCUAGAAAGGAUGCAGGAAAGCAGCCAAUCAGAGCACAGCAGGCUCAGAUUAAAGGAGCUGCAAGGGCUGAGCAGGUCAGUUGCUGGCUGGGACCAGAGGAGCAAGGAAGGUGGUCCUUGCUGGAGCUCAGUGGAGAACCAGAAGACAGGUUGUAGUGACAUUGUUAUUCCGUGAGGAAGAACUUCAGCCCUGAGUAAGGGGCUACAUGGGAAGUGACCCAGGGAAUAGCAGCAGCAACUAUUAUAGGGCAGAGAAUGUUUAGAUCACUCUAUCACUCGAGGGCUAGUGGCUGCUAUUUAUAGGGUCCUUGGGUUGGGACUCUGAGUAGUGGGCAGGCUGGGUCCCCUCACUGGCAGGGUGGUCUAAGUCCCAAGAAGGGGUUAAGACUUAUUUAGAGGCCCAAGUGAAGGGCAGGACUUAGAGUCUCCAGGGAGGAAGCCCUGGGGGGACUGCUCUAUAACAGGGCAGGGAUGGACUUAAAACUAGCCCAGAAGGGGCUGAGAUCUGAGCCCAGAGACAGGGCUGUAGACAUUACCAUGGGCACAGGGACAGGCCCUGUUGGACCUUUUACCCUGGAAGGGGUUUGUUUGUUCACGUUUGACUGACAUUACCAAAGGCACAGCGUUUCACUGUGUGUGACUUGGCCACAGGGUUGAGCCACUGAAGGCAUGCCUGACAAGGGGCACCAUGAGAAGAAAAGAGUGCAGGAUUGCACCUGGCUGACAGAAGGCACUCAUGGGAGGUAUGAGUUAAUACAAAUUUCAGUGUGCCAGCAUGAGCAGAUUUCAAAGCUGCUUGACUGUUGCUCCCUCUAUUUCCCAUCUCUUGCUGAACAGCUGGUCUCUAGAAACAGAGGAAAUGUUUCCAUUGGGAGAUUUCAAAGCCAGCUUGAAAGAAAAGGGACAGAGGGUACGUCAAUAUGUUCUCUCUCCUCACUCUUUCCAAGCCCUGGACUAUUAAAACACUCCAAUUUGGGAAUUGUCUAUAUUUAAUGCCUUCAUGGACCCAGAGUCAUGUGUUCAGCUCAGUCUGUCGUUGACCUUUAAUUAGCUGGCCCACUGUGAACAGAAAUUCUGUUUUCCUUUAUCCUUUACUUCAAAAGCAUCUGCGGCACAACGUUAUGCACAAAACACACAAAACUUAUAAGUCUGCAUGUGAGAAUGAGAAUGCCAAUGCAAUUUGGCGUGGCACAGGCACUGUCCCAAUACAGCUUUGUUACAUUUGUUUUGGGGAUGAAGGUACUUUCUGAGUUGCUGUGCUUGUGUCUGAUCUAAAUGAAGAUGGUUUAAUUGGGAUCUUAAGGCUGCCUUUUCUUUACUUUGAAGAGUUAUUUCUGUUCCCUGGUCUCUUCACUGACAUGUACAAUUUUCUCUCUCUCUUUCUUUUUGGAUUGGGAAGGCAGGCCAGAAUUAAUACUCCUUCAAGAAUGUCAUUCUGUCAAUAAAACAUCCAGAGGUGCACCUGUCCAUUGAGAUACUGAGUGCUAGUCACUAUUACUCUGGGCCAGAUUUAACUUACUAAUCUUGAGUUUAAAAGUUUUUCAUGUAAUUGCCAAGCUUUUGAGCCACCUGGUUCCCUGACUUCACUCUUAGGAAAAAGUGACAAUUUAGUAUUUUCCUUUCAAAAUUAAGGCUACAUCUACAUUACACACCUUUUAGCCACUACAGCUGUCCCGCUAAAAGGUGCGCAGUGUAGCCGCUGUUUGUUGGCAGGAGACAGCUCUCCUGCCAACAAAGCGCUGUUCACCGGUGCUUUUCGUUAGCAAAACUUUUGUCGUUCGGGGGUGUGUGUGUGUGUGUUGUUUUUUUUUUUUCACACCCCUGAAUGACCAAAGUUUUGCCCUUCAGAUUCCAGUGUAGACACAGCCUAAGUUUUGAAUAUUUAGAAAAAGACAGUAGUAAAGCUUUCAAAACAGCCAAAGUCCCAAUUAGUCAAUGAGUGGCUUGCAUUGUCUAAGCCACUCUUAAAAAACAAACAAAACAAUCAGCAAAAACCCCAAGCCAAAAAUUCUACUGUGCAUGUGAAAAAAACAUUUAUAUGCUCAUCAAUUUUUUUUUAAAGUACUGAACAGAUUUUAUUCAGAUGUGGCUUGCACCAUAGCUACAAAACAAUCCAACUUUAAAUACAAAAAAGUUUGAGCCAACUUUGAAUGAUGCAGGGUCAAUAUUUUUGCCUGGAAUAAGUAAGGCAUAGUGCAUUUGUUUAGUUUUUAUACAAACUGCAUCAAUUCUCUUCAAAGUAUCUCCCCUUCUCCCCAUUCCCCCUGAGUCACUUCUGUGAGAAGACUAAGUAUGGAAAAUUACAGACUCAAAUGCAUUUGUUUGCAAGAGCCAUGAGCAAUUGAAGAGGUUAAGUGGGGGGUUAUAAUGGAGGUUGGAAUUCAACUUUAACUGCAGAGUAAGCAGUAGCACAAGCUAAUUUAUCUGUCAUGUUCGGUGUGUGUUUUUCAGAUACUGAAUGCAGCCGUGGUCUUGUUUGUGUCAAAAAGAUAUUUUUGUUAUUAUUGUUACUUAAAAACCUUUGUUUGCCUGAACCAUGUUGUAAAGCUGCUAUAAAUCUAUUGGGACUUUUUUCUUUUCUUAUUUUGAAUCUUGAAAAAUUCUCACUUCAACUUGCACAUUUAAAAAAACCCGACAAUAUGAAAACCACAUGCCCUAAGUGUGAAUACAUUUUCCCCUCCAUGAUUCAGAGCAAUAUUGGAUUGUACUGUAACUCUUCAAAGGUGGCAGUAUUGUGACAGCAACAUUUAGCAUAUCACAAGUGUUCCAUUAGCACAGACAUAGCAAGAAUAUGUGCUUUGAAAAAUAAGAGGUUUUAAACCCCCUCCCCUCACAACCCCUUUCCUCUUUACCUUGAUGCAGUUUCCAAGACGCAGUUGGAAAGCUAGUUAAAAGAAAUCUCCCUUCUGAGAUGAGAUUGUUCUGCGGUGAUGAAAACCCAGAGAUGUCUGCACAGAGCAAGUUCCUUGGCAUUAGAAAAACAUCUGAGAAACAGAAAGCUAUGUCUUUUUUUGUUUUCUUUUCUUUGAGACCGUGAGUGGCCAUUAGGACUACAGCUUUGCAUGAUCGAGGGGAUAUAAGUGUGCCCUAAAAAUGUACUGUGGAAUCCCAGCAUACGUGUUUGUAUGCUACUCCAGUGCAUGGCACUCUACUUCAGUGCAUGGCUUUUCAACUUGCAGGUUGUGAACUGGACUUGGUGUCUAUCUGGCCCAUGUCUAGGGCUCCUAGGUAGUAUGGUAAUACAAAUAAAUAAUUAUAUUAAUAAUAAUAGACCUGUGUGAGUAACAGAUUUUUUUUUUUCACUAGUAAUUUCAAAAUACUGAAAAAAAUCUGUUUGGAUCAACAUAAUACUGACACUUUCCUGAAUUUUUAGUGAAUCAAAAAGUCAGAGACAAAGUUGUUUCAGGGUGAACAAAAUAUUUUGUUUCAGUUUUGACCAUUUUUAAAGGCUGUUGGAUUUUUUUAAAAUAAAAUUGAGGGGAACUUCUAAACAAAAUUGUUUUGAACUGUAAAACUGAAACAGUUUUACCUUUUUCUGAAUUUUUUUUUUUUGACACACAUAAUUUGGCAACAUCAGCACAAAUUUGUAAAAUGUUUCAGUAUAAACAAAUCUUCAAUUUUUUGCUGAAAAAACUUUCAGGGGAAAAAAUUUGCCUAGCACUGGUUGUGAUCACCUUACCCAUCCUGGAUGGGUAUUCCUGGGGUGGAAAAGGCAGGUCUUUAGUAUGGAAAAGUUGGAGAAAAAUUUUCUCUAGGGCACAGAUGCCUUUCUUAGGGCAUCCCCAGGAUGAACAAGGGCCUUGGUCAAGGCGAGCCAUAGGCAUUUUUUGUUUGUUUUUUUGCCAGCCUGCAAAAUAUUUUGCAACCAGCUCUCCUGCCUCCAGAUAUCCUUAAACAUAAGGUACUCUCGUCUCACACUCCCUGCAAAAAGUAAAUUUUAACCUCUUCUUACUCAUCAUGAACACGCCCAUCCUCCCACGCUGUGUGUUUAUGUGAGUUAACCACGCAAUCCUGUAGCCAAUGAUUGUAGUUUAUUAUUCAUUUGUUGUGUAAUAUAACUAACUUGUAUGCUAUUUCAUAUAUCAUCAUUGCAUGCUAAAUAGAUUUAAAUUGUCAGAUUAUAGAAGUAUAGGAUUGAUCAAGAGUUAGAAGAGAUAAUUACUUAGAUAUCUAAUACAUAUGGCUAAAACACAAGGCCUACUGGCUAAGGCUUCUAAGAUUUUAGCUUAUAGUCAUACUAGGCCAUAGGCUUAAGAAAUGCUUGACACAAGUAAGUGAUCAAAGAAUGACCUUAUGCCACAAGAUUACUGGAAAAGAUGCACCAAUGGGUGAUAUUGCGAAAAAUUAACUGUAAGAGAAUUUUUUGCUUACAAGAUACCAGAUAGGGCACGUGUUAGAAAAAUGUGACUAACUGCAGGGUGCACUAUAUGUGUAAAUGCUAAUGAGGUAUAGUCAGAAUCGCAUUUAAAAAGAGGGUGCCCAGAUGAGGAAAACUGAGCUCCGUAUGGGAAACUCCAGCAGGAACCAUUGCUCUACUGAAGAUCAAUUGGCAAUGCAGCCAUCAGACCUUAAGAAUAUUGCAAGUAUAUGAGUAACUUGUGCAAAGGUCUUUAUAGAAUUUCUAUAUACUUGGGUAAUAACUUUAACUGUGACUUUAAUAAAACGUGUAAAACAGAUCAGACCUUGUACUUGUGAAAUGUAUGUGUGGUCACGAUCCUUGGUCUUUAUGUGUUCCUAGAGACUCUAAAUCGGAAGCAAGUAGCAGAGGUGACUCACUUGGUUGAGCUUGAAACUGUAGCCACCAGUGCCGAACUCACGGUGUUGUAAUACAACGUUACUAAAUGUAUUUAAAAUAAAAUAAAGGGCUAUGAUCCCAAUUUAUAUAAA